CUCUUGCUCUGGACUGGGACACCAACAAAAUCAACACUAUUGCUAGUUUUUGAAAAAAGACCAGCACAUUUUAUUGUGUAUUUAAAGGAGCUGACGUUGGAGCCAAAGCCAAAAUUUUAAAAUCACAAGCUCAUCAUUUCCCAGGAGGAUUAUGUCCACAAGAAUUUGCUCCUGGGAAUGUCCUGAAUCAGACCAGCCUUUGCUCCUGACCCGCGGCCACAGAAAAACACUUUCUCUGUGCCACCACACAAAAGGUGCAGUCAGUGUGUUUGUGGGUAAGUACCAUGGAUUAACGAGAGAUUAGCUACCUAGCA